CCGGAUUACCAAACCUUCUCAAACUCCGAAUACCCAGAAGUUAUGCGUGGCAGACACACGGCGGGUGCUAACGUCCGUCGUGGAGAGGGAAACAACCCUGACCGCCGAUUAAGGUCCCCAAGUUAUGGCUAAGUGGGAAAGGAAGUGGAAAUCCCAAAACAACCAGGAUGUUGGCUUAGAAGCAGCCAUCAUUUAAAGAAAGCGUAACAGCUCACUGGUCUAAA
rnacentral:rRNA from 1 species